rnacentral:rRNA from 1 species
UACGUAGGGAGCAAGCGUUGUCCGGAAUCAUUGGGCGUAAAGCGCGCGUAGGUGGCCAUGUAAGUCCGUUGUGAAAGUCAAAGGCUCAACCUUUGAAAGCCGAUGGAUACUGCAUGGCUAGAGUACGGAAGAGGCGAGUGGAAUUCCUGGUGUAGCGGUGGAAUGCGCAGAUAUCAGGAGGAACACCAAUAGCGAAGGCAGCUCUCUGGGACGGUACUGACGCUGAGACG